rnacentral:rRNA from 1 species
UAUCCUACGGGGGGCAGCAGUGAGGAAUAUUGGUCAAUGGGAGAGAUCCUGAACCAGCCAAGCCGCGUGAGGGAAGACGGCCCUAUGGGUUGUAAACCUCUUUUGUCGGAGAACAAAACCCGGGACGUGUCCCGGACUGCGUGUAUCCGAAGAAAAAGCAUCGGCUAACUCCGUGCCAGCAGCCGCGGUAAUACGUAUGGAGCAAGCGUUAUCCGGAUUUACUGGGUGUAAAGGGAGCGUAGGCGGCCCUGUAAGUCUGAUGUGAGAAUUUGGGGCUCAACCCCAAACGUGCAUUGGACACUGCG